UCUUUUUUCCCCCCUGUAAAAACGUCGAGCCCUGUUCAUGUUCUUCCUUGGGUUCUUGAUAGAACCAUAUGCUUCGAUCGAUUCAUCUCCUUCGAUCCAUUGUUCUUCUUGCGAUUCCACGCCACUGCCGCUCGCUGCGCAUCGUCGCCGCAGUGCGGCUGCCGGAUGACGGGGAUCAUGUGGCGGUGGCUUGAAACCCUAAUUGCUGAGACCGGAUGAAAGUGACCUGAAACCUGGGGACGAUCCAAGCUUGUCGAUGGGAUUUCUUGGACGUGUUCCUCUACCGGAAAUUGAUUCUACUGUUGAUAAAGGUACCGCAAUCAGUCAAUUUAUAUUUGAUCCGAACAUAGUGCAUUUUGUUAGAUCGUUGUGAUAUUUGUCAUUACUAGGGUUUUGCGUUAUGAUGCUUUCCACGAAAGCUGCCAUUUUCAAUCUUUGUAUGGUAUUAGGUCGGGAAAGUUAGCAAAACAAACUUGCUUUAGGUUUGGGGUUUAUUUGGACUUGAUCAAAUUAAAAUGGCUCGGACCUGACUCGAGCCAGGAUCUGAUCCAGUCCUGACAAAUUGAUGAGCCCAGGCGCUCACCUGGGCUGCCGGACGCCCUGAUUUAGGCUGACACACCUUGAGGUGCUCAAGCCUUGCCUCGCCUCGCCUCGGCAGAGCGCCUGUUAACUUCACUGGAAUCAGCCAAUUUUUAAACCUGGAUGCGUCUCGACCACCCUAAUUAUUAGCAAGGCUGAAGAUCUUGGCAUAAUGUUACGUUUUUAUAAAUUUAUCACGGUGGUAAUAAGGGUAAAGGAGUGGAAGAGUGUUGUUGUAGCUAAAUUGACAGUGGUUCGUUGAGAAAGAUAUCAUAUAUCUUUUGCCAUUUCAAACAUAUUUUGUAAUGCUUUUUUUCUCUCUUCAACAUUAACUGAUUAUAAAAUAAUGUUGAAUCAAAAUUGCCAUAGUGUUCUGGGAAAUGAAAUAUGAUUGUGCAUUUAAGUUAUUGCCAUCGUUUCAUAUUACCCAUACAAAUAUCUUCUGACAUGUUUAAUUUUAUAAAGCUAACAGAAUGAUUGUUUUCUUGAUUCUAUCAAAUGGAACUUGUAAUUUGUGCACUCAGUGAAUUUGGUCUGGAAGCUAAUGAAUGGUGCCCUUGCUGUCCUAUGUUAUUUAUGCUGUUAUCCUAUGCACUUCUUUUACAAUCAUUUUUUUUUCUAAUUUUAAUGAAUUUUAUGCUUUUAGUUCUUUUUCAAAUUUCCAGUUUCUAAUGCUUAUUUGAGCAACAUGUAAGGUUUCUGCCUUGUAAGUAGUAAUGUAGGUACCACUUGUAUCUUUUAUAGCUAAUUUUUUAUAGUUUCAAGUUAUUUUCAAAUUCCAAAAUAUUUUUUCAUGUUUUCAUGGUCAAGGGCGAUUAUUUUUUAUAGAAAUCCAGCACUUAGUAAAGUCAUUUAGAAAAGCUCCUGAGCUAACAAAGCUCUAAGCAUUACGGACCAAGAAAUCUUGUUUACCCUUCCCUGAUCAACUAGCACCAAGUGGCAAUCCAAUGGGCCUAUUACUGGAGUAUGUUCCAGUUUUAAAGGUAACAAUAUGAGCACAGGUGGAAGUUAACAUGGUUUAGAGCUUGGCAUAAUGCUACAUUUUUAUAAAUUUUGUGCCCAAGUAGUUGAUAUGAAUUACAGGAGACUCAUGGCCCAGAUAAUGUGGAACCCUCAAGAGAGAAAGUUGACGCAGGCUACAUUUUUUUUUUCCCAUCAGCUUCAUGAUUUUUUCAUUUGCAUUAUUAUGAAAUAAGGUAUCUAAGAAGGCUCCCUACAAACAGGAAGAGGGCCACAAUCACUGUUCUGUAGGGGGGCCCUUCUCAUCAAAGGCAGAAAAUGCAAUAUGAUCAUGGAGUCAUACUAUGUUACUAAAAUUUUCUGGAAUGUUGCUCUAUGGAUGACAAGAACUUUGCAAAUCAUUUUCACCUUGGAAUGAUGUUUUUGUUGCCGGCUUUUCAAUUAGUUAAUUCCAUGCUUUAAAUAUUGCUGCCAUUUCAUCUAAAUCUGACAAGUCAUCUGAUAUUCGGAGAAGGUUCUUGCCAUGGAAAGCUAACAUGAUUCUGUUGAUUUGCAUGAGAUGAAUGAUGAACUGAGUUGCGAGUCCCAGAGUCGUUGCUUUUUCUUUAUAUCUGUGGACUGGUCCAGGUAAUGUUAUGAACAUGAACUUAGUGAAGUAAAUAGUAUCAAAGCUACUGAGGUGCGUGCUUCUGAUAUGGCUAGGUUUAAGGUUCUUGAUAACUUGUCCCCUGGUUGCAGGAAGGAUGGCUGAAGCUUCUGAAGUUGGUUUGCUUGGGAUCUGUUGAGUUAUAUAUGGCCCUCUUUUAUAUGUUGGAAAUGGUUCUGGCUCAAAAAUUUUUUAUGGCAAAAUACACUUCCAUUUUCUGAAUGAGAAUGAACAGCCUUGAUCAGUAAAUAUGGCUGUAGAAUUUUAGAAAUGAUCAGUAAUGAAUUGACUCAUAAGAGCUACAUCGAUGAGCAUAGCUCCUGAUUAUAUGGUUUGCUGAAGAAUCUGAUUUGUGUAUAGCUGGUGAGUUUCUUUACUGUUCAUACAGCAUGCAGGUUGCAAAGCCUCUGCAUAUGGUUCUGAUAGCCAACCAUCGGAGGGGGAGCUUAUGAUGGAAGGCACUGGCAUGGUAUGGCAGUUGAACUCAAGUUUCUUCCACCUUUCCCAUGCUUCUUGACAAGAUUAUUUUGCUUGUACAUGUCUAGACUGCAUUGCAGAAAUCUAAUUAACUACACUGCAGUUGAAAAUCUAUCAAAUGGUUAAAAUGCAUUUUGCAGUCUAUAUUGGUAAUACAAUGAUCUAUUAGAAAAAGGAAAUUAUGAUCGUGACCACCCAUGCUUUUUCGCAGUUGUCUGCCGUGACAAAAGUUAUUUCAGGCACUCUACAUAAUGUGUGUCAUCGCCCUCAUGCUUUAGGUGUGUUGUGACUGCUACUAACACCAUGCAAACUUUGUAUGUUCAACUUAACACUUUUUUCUUGUAGUCAUUUCAAAUUUAUUGUUUGUCGUUGAAUUUCUUGUAUGCAAAAAACAAUGCCUAUCGGACUACUCUUUUAAGUGUAGAUUAACAGUAAUGAAAAAUACAGUGUUUUCAUC